GAUGGGCAAGUGGUAAGGCAUCAAUCUGGUAAAUCGAAGAUCACGGGUUCAAACCCCGCCUGUGCCUCA